AUGUUUUGGCAGCACAUAUACUACAGUUGGAACAACGCAGAGAAGAUUAGCAUGGCCCCUGCGAGAGGAUGAUACUCAAAUUCAUGAAGUAUCCAUAUUGGAA